rnacentral:misc_RNA from 1 species
UUUCCGUAGGUGAACCUGCGGAGGGAUCAUUAUUGUAUAACCUAAGUGCUAGGGCUGUCUCUAACCCGAUAGGUCUUGCACGCGCGGGUGGCCUCACACAGAGCCAUCGCACCCCUAGGUGCACCACCGGGUGGAUCCCCCUGUGACUUGUUAGGGGUGGGACUGACGUGUUCACACAAACUUUAUAUGCAGUGUAGAAUGUAUUUUUUGUUUUUACGGUCACGGAAUCAAUGCAAAUUUCAACGACGUAUCGCUUGGCUCUCGCAUCGCUUAAGAACG